rnacentral:misc_RNA from 1 species
GUGACAGAAAUUGGGACUCUAAUCAGCCUUGGUGCUAGAGAUUCGUGUGAAUUUUUCCAUGAUCCUAAUAAGGGAAAAAGUGAAGAAGGCAAGAUCAGGAAGGUGUUGAAGGUAGAGCCACUCCCAGAUGGUUCUGGCCACUUCUUUAACCUCAGUGUUCAAAACAAACUUCUGAAUAUGGAUGAAAGCAUUUACAUUCCCAUUACAAGGGCAGAAUACACCGUCCUCACCUCAGCUUUUAACUAUAUCUUACCAUACCUGCUAGGUUGGCACGCCUUCGCAAAUUCUAUCAAACCAGAUGACCAUAGCCGUGUGAACAAUGCAAGUCCAAGGUAUGGGGGGGACUAUGAAUGGAGCAGGUAGUGAACAUCGCAAGGAUGCCUGCAAGAAUAGUGCCUAAGCUGUAUUUUACGUUUUUUUCCCCCCA